rnacentral:siRNA from 1 species
GGCGAUACAUUGGUGGAGGUAUCU